CACCUUUAGAAUUAACAGAGCAGGAAAGCGAGCGUACAGUAAGAGCGCUGAAAGUGAACGGAGACGGUCAUUCGCGACAGCCAAUCAGAUCUCGAGACUGCGACACGGAGGCCCCGCUACGAGGUCACACGCUGAACGUGGCACGUACGCGUCCUGUGAUUGGAUAAGCACCGAAAGGCGGCUCUUUGCAAAGUGUAGCAUCCGUUACCUGGACAUCCGUUAGCUACUAUCAGUUACCGUAGUAUUUUUAGCCCAAGUUGGCUGAAAGAGGAGACGGGAAAUUGUUGCAGACAAACGUUACACGCCAUUUUCAACACGGACCUUUCCCAAAAAGCUGGACCCUGUGAGGAGUGGCCGACCAACCGCUACGCUGGGUAACCUGUCCCAGCAGGGAGAAGGGUUGUCCGCCAUUUUCAGACCAGCAGCUAUGUACAGAAUCAGUGGCUCAUACCUUCUGAGAACCGUUGGUGAUUUGGUGGUUGGAGCUACACUAGGUUUACCAACGUAGGUUGUUUCACCGUGGCAGCAACGACACACCAAAGCACGGCCGGGUUCCGACGAGCCACGGUGCGUUUAAAGACUACCGGACAGACGGCAUUAGCAUCCUUAUUGCUGGAUCCGAAAGCACAAUAAGCCUUCUACAGAAAAGGAGAAGCUCUGUGUUGGAUUGCAUUAGGGAAUGAAUCAUUGUUUGUGACCCCAGCAGAAGCACCCCCCCCCCCCACUUCCCUACAGACGAGCGCUGACUAUGUCCUGGAGGCCUUGUGUCCCUGCCUAAAACACCACUGCCACAGUGGUCAUGCUCCGCGGUGCAACAUCCGUCUCCUGACUCCUUGGCUCCUGUCACAUGUGCUCAGACUGAACCCGCUCUCAUCUGUGAAGGAAACGGGAGGCGAGCGGCCGACACGCCGACUCAGGUAUUCUCUGGGGAUGCUCACGGAGCCGCGCGUCCUGGAGUCACUGGAGUCACUGGAGUCCCCUUUCUGAGACUUGUCUUGUUUUUGUUUUUCUAUUGCAGAAAUCAUUUUUCGUCAUUUUCAGUUCCUCUGAAUUAACCUGACGCUGACUUAAAGUGUGAAAAAAGACACCUAAGGGUUUAUAAAUGAAUAAGCAAUGUUUAUAUCAUAUUAAAUGUAAUGGCACAAAUGUACCGAUAAUAAAAAUGUCUCGCUG
rnacentral:lncRNA from 1 species